rnacentral:rRNA from 1 species
CUACGGGGGGCACCAGUCGAGAAUCUUCCGCAAUGGACGAAAGUCUGACGGAGCGACGCCGCGUGCGGGAUGAAGGCCUUCGGGCUGUAAACCGCCGUCAGUGGGGAGGAAAUGCAUCAGGGUUCUCCCUGGUGUUUGACCGAUCCGCAGAGGAAGCGCAGGCUAAGUUCGUGCCAGCAGCCGCGGUAACACGAACUGCGCGAACGUUAUUCGGAAUCACUGGGCUUAAAGAGUUCGUAGGCGGCCUUUCAAGUCGGGUGUGAAAUCCCUCGGCUCAACCGAGGAAUUGCGCCUGAUACUGUUGGGCUUGAGGGGGAUAGGGGUGAGCGGAACUGAUGGUGGAGCGGUGAAAUGCGUUGAUAUCAUCAGGAACACCGGUGGCGAAGGCGGCUCACUGGAUCUCUUCUGACGCUGAGGAACGAAAGCUAGGGGAGCGAACGGGAUUAGAUACCCCCGUAGUC